GGUGCAGCCGGGUCUGCAAGUCAGAUGUGAAAUCCAUGGGCUCAACCCAUGAACUGCAUUUGAAACUGUAGAUCUUGAGUGUCGGAGGGGCAAUCGGAAUUCCUAGUGUAGCGGUGAAAUGCGUAGAUAUUAGGAGGAACACCAGUGGCGAAGGCGGAUUGCUGGACGAUAACUGACGGUGAGGCGCGAAGUGUGGGAGCAAACA
rnacentral:rRNA from 1 species